UGGGGGCCAAAGCUGGAGAGCAAUGUAGAAUAUUAGUAUACAAUUGUAAGAUAGAGAAAUAAAGUGAGAAACUUGGAGAAUGGGAUUCCAAUGUGCAUUUUAUAUGGCCUUUUGCUCUUCAAACCACAUUGAUUACCUUUUGUGAUAUAGUUAUACAAAUAUUUGAAUCACAUGUCAAUUGAGAUGAGGCACAAUGCUUA
rnacentral:lncRNA from 1 species